rnacentral:rRNA from 1 species
GAUGAACGCUGGCGGCGUGCUUAACACAUGCAAGUCGAGCGAGGCCCCUCCUUCGGGAGGGUGUUCUAGCGGCGAACGGGUGAGUAAGUCGUGGGUAACUUGCCCUCAGCUCUGGGAUAACUCCGGGAAACAGGGGCUAAUACCGGAUACGACCUCCACGGGCACCUGCGGAGGUGGAAAGUUUUUCGGCUGAGGUUGGGCCUUCAGCUUAAUCCCUAGUUGGUGGGGUAGUGGCUCACCAAGCCGCCGACGGGUAGCCGGCUUGAGAGCUGGGCCGGCCACACGAGGACUAAGACACGGCCCAGACGCCAACGGGAGGCAACAGGCGGGAAUAUGACGCAGUGGGCGAGAGCCUGACGCAGCGGCGCCGCGUUAGGAAAGAAGGCCUACGAGUUGUAAACCUCUUUCAGCGGAGACGAGGCGAAAGUGACGGUACCUGCAGAAGAAGCACCGGCCAACUACGUG